AGAACGAACGCUGGCGGCGUGGAUUAGGCAUGCAAGUCGUGCGAGAAAGGGUGGCAACACCCGAGUACAGCGGCGAACUGGUGAGUAACAGGUGGGUAAUGUGCCCUCAAGUGGGGGGAUAACACCGGGAAACCGGUGCUAAUACCGCAUGUGAUCUUCGGGUUCAUGGACCUGGAGGUCAAAGCAGAGAUGCGCUUGAGGAUCGGCCCGCCCCCGAUUAGCUAGUUGGUGAGGUCACGGCUCACCAAGGCUGCGAUCGGUAGCUGGUCUGAGAGGAUGGUCAGCCACACUGGGACUGAGAUACGGCCCAGACUCCUACGGGGGGCAGCAGUCUAGAGGCUUCGGCAAUGGGGGCAACCCUGACCGAGCGACGCCGCGUUGUGGGAUUGAAGGCCUUCGGGUUGUAAACCACUGUCAUUGGGGAAGAAUGCCUGGAUGGUGAAUCCAGGAGCGACGGUACCCAAGGAGGAAGCCCCGGCUAACUCCGUGCCAGCAGCGGC
rnacentral:rRNA from 1 species